UCAGCCUUCCUGACGGUGGCGACGCAGCGGCACUGGCGACGUGUGGCGGCGUGGGUCGCCCCGGCAACCGUUGUCAUGGUGACGAGUCGGAGAUUUGAUACCGCCACGCUGAAUGGAUUAUUGAUGCAACGCCGCUAGUUCCCGCUGCAACCACCAGAUGCCGCGCCAAUCGCCACCGUCUUAAUUAUAAGGAGAAUGUAGGCAAUUAACGCAGUAAGGAGAUUAGCGCAUUGUACCAGUAAUUAGUCGGCGUCGGGGCGGCGCGGGAGCAUCAAGGUGCCACUCUGGCUGGAGGCGCGGACGGGGGCGCCGCCUCGCGCUCCUUGUUACUGACGGAGGACGAGAGGGCGUCACACCACGCCCAGGGGCCCGCGCCUAGAGGACGUGCCGCAGCGAGGACCAGCUGACGAGACUAGAUGGAUGAAGGGACAACAAAACAAAACCCAGAAUUAGAUAUCUGGUGCCAGGGAGCAAGAAACAAUACGAAGACGAACACCAGAGAACAGAAUAUGGAAGGAGAGACAAGGAAACAAACCUAACACAGAAAACAGGAAGCCCUUAGUGUGCUCAGCGUUUUCUUAAUGGAUGAACCUUUAGCACAGACGAUUUUCUAUCAGUAUGAAAAGAAAAAAAAGGAAAACAGAACAAGCAAGAAAAUAACCAAAGAAAAAAUUGGCUAACUUGCAAGGAAAAUCAGUCAAAGAAAAGAAAAUACAUCAACUAAGAUAUCUUGAACUAGGAGAACACGGCCUAGAACAUUGUUAUUUUUUUUUCCAUUCAUGUUCCGAACCUCUAAACAGCCACACGUAGUUUUGUUCCUUACUUUCACAGCUGCUUUGAAUAGAACCGAAAAGAAAGGAGUGUGGAAAAAUAGCCCUUUCUUCCCAUCCCAUUUUCUUUUUUACCAUUUGGCUCGUGUGAAAGUGUUGAAAGGAAAAGAAAGAAACAAUUGUGAUGUCCAGUGAAAGGGCGAGGGAGUGAAGGAGGAGAGGAUGAAUAAGUGCCGUGACGAAGCAAAGUGUUGAGAUUUCCUCAGUGGAGAAAAAAGGCGACAAGAGGAUCAUGAUGAGCGAAAAAAGAAGAAGCUGGAAAUGGAGAAUCAUGGUGACUGUGGCGUUUGAAGAGGAAGGAAAAGAGAGAGGACGAUGAGGAUGAGGAUGAGAAUGGAAAGGAGGAACAUGAGAGGAGGAAAAGAAGACUGUUAACACCUUUUCUUAUUUUCAUCUACACUUUACCCUUUUUUCUUACUCCUAUUCUUUAUUCUGCUCCUUCGAUCGUGUUUCCUUCUCUUCCUCAUCCUCAUUAACUUAUCACUUUUUCACUUGAUUCCUCUUCCUUUUUACAUAUUUAUCUUUUUUUAUUCAUCCUAUUUCUUCACUAAUUUCAUUCUCCCUUUCUCUCUCUGAUUAUGGCUUUCUUUAAUCCAUCCUUUUCAUUAUUCCUUGAUUAUACCUUUCUUUCAUUCAUUUUCAUUAGCACUGUUCUCGUUCUGUUCCUCAUUCUCUUCAUCCUCACCGCUUUUAUCAGCCCCACUUUCUCAUUCUUCUACAUAUAUGCAUCCCUUCUUUCCUUCUCCUCGUCCUCCGCUUCCGCCUCCGCCUCCUCCUUCUCCUCUUCCUCCGCCUCCGCCUCCUCCUCUACUCUCCUCCUCUGCCUCCUCCUCCUCCUCCUCCUCCUCCUCCUCUGUUCCCGGCGCCGUGGACAACUUUCCUCACUCAGAUGACUGACACAAACUGCGGAGACAUGAUCAGGGCAGCUCUCCCUUCCCUGCCCAGCCCUGCCCUGCCCCGUGUCUCUCCUCACCCCUCAGUGCCUUUAACGUUUUUGGUUAUUUUUCCUAUUUAUCUACUUAACAUCUUUUUGUUCGUUUAUAUUUUCUUUAUGUUGCUCUCUCUCUCUCUCUCUCUCUCUCUCUCUCUCUCUCUCUCGACCCUACCCCCCCCUAAUGUAUUCCUCCAUUCUCUUUUUCUCAAUAUAGGUAUUAAUGCAUGUCUAUCUAUAUAUCUACCUAGAUACCUAGCGAUUUUUUUAUAUUCCAAUAUUUAUCAAUAUGUUUCAUCCGAUUCAAGCAUUCUUCCAUAGGCUUAUCCACCUUUCGCAUGUCCACAGGUAAAGCACAACCGGGGCUGGGUAAGUACUUUUUUUUGUUGCCGUGCGAGAUAACAGUAUGCCUAUGUCCUUGGUCGUAUAUUUAUUAUGAAUAUACCUGGCAAUAAAGGAUACUGUUAAGAGUAAGAAAAUAAACAGUUAAACUUU